UACGUAGGGUGCAAGCGUUGUCCGGAAUUAUUGGGCGUAAAGAGCUCGUAGGCGGUUUGUCGCGUCGGCUGUGAAAACCUGGGGCUCAACCCCGGGCCUGCAGCCGAUACGGGGCAACUAGAAUUCGGUAGGGGAGACUGGAAUUCCUGGUGUAGCGGUGAAAUGCGCAGAUAUCAGGAGGAACACCGGUGGCGAAGGCGGGUCUCUGGGCCGAUAUUGACGCUGAGGAGCGAAGCGUGGGGAGCGAACAGG
rnacentral:rRNA from 1 species